rnacentral:rRNA from 1 species
ACCUGAAAUAAGUAAGAGUACCCGCUGAACUU